rnacentral:rRNA from 1 species
GUAAUAGCUCACUGGUCGAGUCGGCCUGCGCGGAAGAUGUAACGGGGCUAAACCAUGCACCGAAGCUGCGGCAGCGACACUUAGGUGUUGUUGGGUAGGGGAGCGUUCUGUAAGCCGUUGAAGGUGACCUGUGAGGGUUGCUGGAGGUAUCAGAAGUGCGAAUGCUGACAUAAGUAACGAUAAUGCGGGUGAAAAACCCGCACGCCGGAAGACCAAGGGUUCCUGUCCAACGUUAAUCGGGGCAGGGUGAGUCGACCCCUAAGGCGAGGCUGAAAAGCGUAGUCGAUGGGAAACAGGUUAAUAUUCCUGUACUUGGUGUUACUGCGAAGGGGGGACGGAGAAGGCUAGGCUGGCCGGGCGACGGUUGUCCCGGUUUAAGCGUGUAGGGGGAGUGACCAGGUAAAUCCGGUUGCUUAUCAACCCUGAGGCGUGAUGACGAUGCACCACGGUGCAGAAGCAGUUGAUGCCAUGCUUCCAGGAAAAGCCUCUAAGCAUCAGGUAACAUUAAAUCGUACCCCAAACCGACACAGGUGGUCAGGUAGAGAAUACUCAGGCGCUUGAGAGAACUCGGGUGAAGGAACUAGGCAAAAUGGUGCCGUAACUUCGGGAGAAGGCACGCUGGCGUUAGGUGAAAGGACUAGCUCCUGGAGCUGAAGCCAGUCGCAGAUACCAGCUGGCUGCAACUGUUUAAUAAAAACACAGCACUGUGCAAACACGAAAGUGGACGUAUACGGUGUGACGCCUGCCCGGUGCUGGAAGGUUAAUUGAUGGGGUCAGCCGCAAGGGGAAGCUCUUGAUCGAAGCCCCAGUAAACGGCGGCCGUAACUAUAACGGUCCUAAGGUAGCGAAAUUCCUUGUCGGGUAAGUUCCGACCUGCACGAAUGGCGUAAUGAUGGCCAGGCUGUCUCCACCCGAGACUCAGUGAAAUUGAACUCGCUGUGAAGAUGCAGUGUACCCGCGGCAAGACGGAAAGACCCCGUGAACCUUUACUAUAGCUUGACACUGAACAUUGAGCCUUGAUGUGUAGGAUAGGUGGGAGGCCUUGAAGUGUGGACGCCAGUCUGCAUGGAGCCAACCUUGAAAUACCACCCUUUAAUGUUUGAUGUUCUAACUCGGCCCCAUGAUCUGGGGUGAGGACAGUGUCUGGUGGGUAGUUUGACUGGGGCGGUCUCCUCCCAAAGAGUAACGGAGGAGCACGAAGGUUAGCUAAUCACGGUCGGACAUCGUGAGGUUAGUGCAAAGGCAUAAGCUAGCUUGACUGCGAGAGUGACGGCUCGAGCAGGUACGAAAGUAGGUCUUAGUGAUCCGGUGGUUCUGAAUGGAAGGGCCAUCGCUCAACGGAUAAAAGGUACUCCGGGGAUAACAGGCUGAUACCGCCCAAGAGUUCAUAUCGACGGCGGUGUUUGGCACCUCGAUGUCGGCUCAUCACAUCCUGGGGCUGAAGUAGGUCCCAAGGGUAUGGCUGUUCGCCAUUUAAAGUGGUACGCGAGCUGGGUUUAGAACGUCGUGAGACAGUUCGGUCCCUAUCUGCCGUGGGCGUUGGAAGAUUGAGAGGGGCUGCUCCUAGUACGAGAGGACCGGAGUGGACGAAUCACUGGUGUUCGGGUUGUCAUGCCAAUGGCAUUGCCCGGUAGCUAAAUUCGGAAGAGAUAACCGCUGAAAGCAUCUAAGCGGGAAACUUGCCUCGAGAUGAGUCUUCCCUGGGACUUAAAGUCCCCUGAAGGAACGUUAAAGACUAUGACGUUGAUAGGCUGGGUGUGUAAGUGCAGCGAUGUAUUGAGCUAACCAGUACUAAUGAUCCGUGAGGCUUAACCUU